rnacentral:lncRNA from 1 species
AAGUGACACUUCCUCCCAGUGAUGACGUAGAUGGAGAGGAAGAACAGGAGUUAUUUGGGCUUCAGUUCAUGCACGCAUACAUACAAGAGUCACGGAGAACAGAAGACCAAGUCAACUGUCUGACUCAUACGCCCAGCUCUACACGGUCUGAUGGAUAAAGUAAUUUAAAGAGUCCCGCUGAAAAGGAAUACUUCGACAACUGGAUGAGCCGGUACAGCAGUUAAUAAUACAUUUUCCAGAGACACCAAUGGGUCCGUAUAGUACUGUAAGGCAGGACUGAAGCCUUUCUGCUGUAAAUACUGGAGUCGGCCUUGGUCAAUCAGCAAUUUGCAAAGAUGUCCUAUUUUCUUCUUUUCUUCAACAGUAAGAGUCCUACAUUGAAUAAACACACAAAACUUAAAAGUU